rnacentral:tRNA from 1 species
UGUUCUGUGGCUUAGUUGGUUAAAGCGCCGGUCUAGCGAAUACGGAAUCGUGGUGUCGAAUCUCACCAGAAGAA